UACGGAGGAUGCGAGCGUUAUCCGGAUUUAUUGGGUUUAAAGGGUGCGUAGGCGGAUUUUUAAGUCAGCGGUAAAAUGUCCGGGCUCAACCCGGGCCGGCCAUUGAAACUGGGGAUCUUGAGUGGGCGAGAAGUAUGCGGAAUGCGUGGUGUAGCGGUGAAAUGCAUAGAUAUCACGCAGAACUCCGAUUGCGAAGGCAGCAUACCGGCGCCCGACUGACGCUGAGGCACGAAAGCGUGGGGAUCGAAUAGG
rnacentral:rRNA from 1 species